rnacentral:tRNA from 1 species
GCCUACAGCCUAGUGGCUAAGGUACAUGGCUGGGACCCCUGAGGUUGGUGGUUCAAGUCCCAGUCG